rnacentral:rRNA from 1 species
ACGAACGCUGGCGGCGUGCUUCACACAUGCCAGUCGAACGGAAAGGCCCCUUUGGGGGUCCUCGAGUGGCGACCGGGUGAGUAACACGUGAGUAACCUGCCCUUGACUUCGGGAUAACUUCAGGAAACUGGGGCUAAUACCGGAUAGGAAUCCUUGCUGCAUGGUGGGGGUUGGAAAGCUUCGGCGGUUUUGGAUGGACUCGCGGCUUAUCAGCUUGUUGGUGGGGUAGUGGCUUACCAAGGCUUUGACGGGUAGCCGGCCUGAGAGGGCGACCGGCCACAUUGGGACUGAGAUACGGCCCAGACUCCUACGGGAGGCAGCAGUGGGGAAUAUUGCACAAUGGGCGGAAGCCUGAUGCAGCAACGCCGCGUGCGGGAUGACGGCCUUCGGGUUGUAAACCGCUUUCAGCAGGGGCGAAGCUUGUGGUGACGGUACCUGCAGAAGAAGCACCGGCUAACUACGUG